rnacentral:lncRNA from 1 species
UCAUAUAUCUUCAAGCUCACUGACAUAGAGCUUGUAUUGUAUUCCAGUCACUGUAAAAGAGCACUGCUGAUGUGCUGGGCAGAAAUGGGGGAGGGGAAUAAUUCUAUAGAGAGUCCAAUGGUUAGGUUUCAGGUUUUUAGUGAGCCUGUGUCCCUGGGCUGUGAACUUCACCUGGGAGUCUCAGUUAUUAUCCCAUCGUAUAUUAGGUGAGACAGGAAUGCUAGCUGAGAUGGGACUGGGAGUCUCAGUUAUGAUCCCAUCGUAUAUUAGGUGAGACAGGAACGCUAGCUGAGAUGGGACUGGAAUGUUUUGUUUUCCCUGGGUGUCAGGAUGAAGGAAGCUGAGGUACGGCAUUUCCCUCCACAAAGAUGAGGUGGUGCUUCUCCCCCUGUCUACCAAGAUAAUGGAGGUAGUGCAGCCUGGUAGACGGCAAGCAGGGUGAUGGCACGGAUGUGAUGCCCCCGCCCAGGAUGGAAUCAGAGAGCCAGCCUGGGAUCCUACCUCCACCAAUUCCCAGCUUUGUGAUCCUGAGCAAAUUAGUUACUGUCACUGCAGUUUCAUUUCCUCAUCUUAAAAGAAGGUAAUAACAGUCAUCACAUAGCACACUUGUGAGAGUUAAACCAAAUGAUGCAAGGGAAAUGCCUGCAACACUGCUUGGCAGAUAACAGAGUCUCAGCAGAUGGUAGAGGUCAUUCUGAAGAGAAUGCCAUUUGACCUAAUCGGGGUGACGAAGGCAGUUAAGAGUAGGCGAGAGGAGUGGUAGGGCUUGGGGAAAGCAGGUCAGGCAGCUGGUGGGAUUUGCAGACCUGAGGAGAGCCUUCUGGGUGCAUUUAGUUGCUGACAGAGUCUGGCCCAAGCCCAGGCCACAGGCACAGUCCCAGGAGACAUGCUCAUGAGCUGUCAUCUCAGUCCAGCCGCUGACUCACCCCACAGGCGGGCACCCAGGGAGCAGGUGCUGCAGCUGUUCCGUCAGUAGACCUCUGAGGCUGUAAGAGCUGACCAACUUCUGGCUGAUGGAGUAACUUGCCCACAGGUGGGGAUGGGAAGGGUGAAGGCCCAGCCUCUCUCUCUUGUGUGUCUGGGAUGAGAGGGUCAGUAUCCUCACCUUGGUCUAGACUUUGUUGUUUAAAAGGUAAGCUGGGGAGCAGCAGGCUCAACAUCACUUGGGCGCGUGUUACAGGUGCAAA